ACACUCCUACGGGAGGCAGCAGUGGGGAAUAUUGGACAAUGGGCGCAAGCCUGAUCCAGCCAUGCCGCGUGAGUGAUGAAGGCCCUAGGGUUGUAAAGCUCUUUCACCGGAGAAGAUAAUGACGGUAUCCGGAGAAGAAGCCCCGGCUAACUUCGUGCCAGCAGCCGCGGUAAUACGAAGGGGGCUAGCGUUGUUCGGAAUUACUGGGCGUAAAGCGCACGUAGGCGGAUCGAUCAGUCAGGGGUGAAAUCCCAGGGCUCAACCCUGGAACUGCCUUUGAUACUGUCGAUCUGGAGUAUGGAAGAGGUGGGUGGAAUUCCGAGUGUAGAGGUGAAAUUCGUAGAUAUUCGGAGGAACACCAGUGGCGAAGGCGGCUCACUGGUCCAUUACUGACGCUGAGGUGCGAAAGCGUGGGGAGCAAACAGGAUUAGAAACCCGAGUAGUCCC
rnacentral:rRNA from 1 species